rnacentral:lncRNA from 1 species
AAAACUUGCAGGGAAAGCUGAAGCAUAAUAUUAUAGUAAAAUAUAUAUAUAUAUAUAUAAUAUAUUAUAUAUAAGUAUUUAAACUUUAGACUUUAUGUAUGUAUUAUAGUAUACAUCUUAUAUUAUAUAUAUAUAUACUGGCUAAACUUACAGUAGAGUAAUGUGUUGAAACUUGAGGGGAAAAUCACUUUUUGAGAGAGACUGGCUUUCCAGCAUUUUCUUGGAGAGAUGUGGUUUCAUGGAAGAAUGGUGUCUGAGCUACAUUUUGUCUUAUUCUAAAGAUAAAAAGAUGACAGAAGCCAGUGGACUUCGUAUCACUACAGAGGAGAGACAACAUUUUUUUUUAAAUUAUCAUGAAACCAAAAAAAGACUGAUCAUCCAGACCUCAGCCUCCUCCUCCCCAGGACUCCUGGCCAGGAUGGAGGUAAGGGAUGGAGGGUCCAAUCCUGGGACAGUCUUGUCCCUCAGCACCUCAGGCAUGAACUUCUGGGACGGUGGGGUUGGCUUCCCUGGCAUGAUGGACAAAGGCCUGGUGUCUGGACCGGAGGGCCGCUGCAGCGAGCAGGAGUAGCUAACAUAUGCCAGGCAGAUCCUCUGGACACGUAAUCUACCUCAGACAAUACGUGAUGACUCAAUCAAGGCCGAUAAUAAAGACAUUUCCUGCUAAAAAAUAAAAAAUAAAUUACGACCGGGCACGGUGGCUCACGCCUGUAAUCCCAGCACUUUGGGAGGCCAAGGCGGGAGGAUCACAACGUCAGGAGUUCGAGAUCAGCUGGCCAAUGUGGUGAAACCCUGUCUCUACUAAAAGUACAAAAAUUAGCUGGGCAUUGUGGUGGGCACCUGAAGUCCCAGCUACUCAGGAGGAUGAGGCAUCACUUGAACGCCGGAGGCGGAGGUUGCAGUGAGCCGAGAUCGCGCCACUGGGUGACAGAGUGAGACUCCAUCUCAAAUUAAUUAAUUAAUUAAUAAUAAAAUAAUUUUAACCAGGUUUUCUUUACCUUUAUUAAUGUGGCUUUUAGAAUAUUU